rnacentral:rRNA from 1 species
UGGGGAAUAUUGCACAAUGGGGGAAACCCUGAUGCAGCAACGCCGCGUGAGUGAUGACGGCCUUCGGGUUGUAAAGCUCUGUCUUCAGGGACGAUAUUGACGGUACCUGAGGAGGAAGCCACGGCUAACUACGUGCCAGCAGCCGCGGUAAUACGUAGGUUGCAAGCGUUGUCCGGAUUUACUGGGCGUAAAGGGAGCGUAGGCGGACUUUUAAGUGAGAUGUGAAAUACCCGGGCUCAACCUGGGUGCUGCAUUUCAAACUGGAAGUCUAGAGUGCAGGAGAGGAGAGUGGAAUUCCUAGUGUAGCGGUGAAAUGCGUAGAGAUUAGGAAGAACACCAGUGGCGAAGGCGACUCUCUGGACUGUAACUGACGCUGAGGCUCGAAAGCGUGGGGAGCAAACA